AAUUAUAUUUUCGUUUCUUGUGCUGUGGUGGUUCUUGUCCUAUUCCUGGUGCUACCGGUAUUGAUAAUGAAAAGAAAAAAUAUAAGAGAAUAUCAGCUCAACAAAACAAAAAGCGCAAACAAACUAGAAGAACCCGAAAAGAUGCUUAUUGGAACGGAAGGAGAGAAUGGACUUUUUGCUCUGUAAAACAUCUCCAUGCUUGUUUUCAGCCUUGCAACAAUAGCUAUGGAAAGGAAUUCUACAAAGAAACUUUAUUGAAUGAUAAACCUGGA